UACGAAGGGUGCAAGCGUUACUCGGAAUUACUGGGCGUAAAGCGUGCGUAGGUGGUUUGUUAAGUCUGAUGUGAAAGCCCUGGGCUCAACCUGGGAAUUGCAUUGGAUACUGGCAGGCUAGAGUGCGGUAGAGGAUGGCGGAAUCCCGGUGUAGCAGUGAAAUGCGUAGAGAUCGGGAGGAACAUCUGUGGCGAAGGCGGCCAUCUGGACCAGCACUGACACUGAGGCACGAAAGCGUGGGGAGCAAACAGG
rnacentral:rRNA from 1 species